UACGUAGGGUGCAAGCGUUAAUCGGAAUUACUGGGCGUAAAGCGUGCGCAGGCGGUUGAUGUAAGACAGUAGUGUGAAAUCCCCGGGCUCAACCUGGGAACUGCAUUGUGACUGCAUCGCUGAGUACGGGCGAGAGGGGGGAUGGAAUUCCGCGUGUAGCAGUGAAAUGCGUAGAUAUGCGGAGGAACACCGAUGGCGAAGGCAAUCCCCCUGGGCCUG
rnacentral:rRNA from 1 species